AUAACCGAGAGGGCAGAAAAAAAUCUGCUCUCCUACGCGGUCAAAGUCUUGGGAGGAUGCGAUCUAGGCGCGGUUACUCGCUGCCGCCGGAAACCGGAAACAGAUCGGACGCGUUUAAAUUGCAAGGCCUCGUGCCUUGCAUUUUUUU
rfam:Mesorhizobium ciceri biovar biserrulae WSM1271, complete genome.